ensembl:lncRNA
UGCAUAAAAUCAGUAUAGCGAUGCAUUUAGAUCCUCAUUUUGUUUAACAUGAACUGGAUAUAUUUGUGAAAUUCUGUUUCACCAUAGGUGUGUGUUACGGUGAUGUGGGAGGCGAGAUGGACCCAGAGACCAGUGGGAUGCUGGGUAAUCGUGUUGGGUCCCUGUUUGCUGGGCGCAGCAGCUUCCAUCCGGGAGAGCCAAGGGACAGUCUGGUGCAUAUGUCCAAUGGUCUGUGUGCAUGUGGGUUCAUACAGAUAUUUAAUAACAUGUUUAAUGAUCAUUUUGACUUCUACAUCUAUCUAGCAGCAUUGUUCAAUAAAUAUUCUCACAUAGAGGAAAGCUUUUCAUAGUUUCAUUUGUUGGAUUUUUCUUUGCUUUGGGAUCUGAAAAGGCAUGACUUGAUGCACGGAUCAGAUGUUAACACUGUGAUGUCUUGUCCUGAUCUGUCAGGUGGUAGCGCCCCAUUGGUCAUCUGCUCAGACUGUUAUGACAACGCCAACAUCUACUCUCGCACAAGGGACUACUGCCACUACUCAUAUCUGAGUGAAGAAGAUGCUUUGGACGCCCAGCUGCCCAGAGACACAAGAGAGAGGGGCAGCAUGAGGAUGCAGCGCUGCACGACCUGAUCACCCGAGACUCUCAGGAGCCCCAGCACAACGCCUUACACCACUACCGUUGCAAAGAUGUUCCAAGCAGAUCGUUUUGGAGUGGCGUAGACCCUCAUUCCUCUGAGUUGUCCACGGGUUCAGUGACUGUCCACAAGCCACCAACAGGUCCCUCUAAUGGGAACGACCAUGAGGAAAGAACAGGAGGGCUAGAGGAAGCCUCGUACAGGACUAACCCUCAGGAUCAGAACCCUCCGAACACAUAGAGCCCAACCAACACCCGGUGUUUACGCCCUGCUCAGCGUGACCUACAAUCCCACUACCUCUUCCAAGUAAACUCACACUCUGUCAAAAAAAAAAAAAAGAAACCCAAACUUCACUCUCUUGUGUUUACAAUCCGUACCGUUCCCUCAUUGGAUCCUUGUGUGUUUCUUGUGAAUAACCCUUUCUAGGACACAGUGAUGAUGAUCUUCCCACUGAUUCCAUACAAACGGAUCCUCUGGUUUAAGUUGAGACUCUGAAUGUAAUGUUUCUUGUAGAGAGUCUUGCUCACUCUGCCUUUUGUCUUAAGGAUUGUUUUGCCCUUUUCCCCCCUCUACUGCGGGGAACAUGAACUCCCAUGUUUAUGCCAAAGCAUCGAGCCAGCCCUCUUUUAUGCUGCCCAGGCUUUGAAAAAGUGGUCAUGAUUGUCCUUGUAGGAAUCCUUGUAUGAUUCAGUGUGUGUACUGUUGAAUACAUGUAGGAGGACAUCACUCAGGCAGUUGAAUGCUGUCAUGGAGACAAACUCUGCAUUACUGUUUCCUGUUGGUCACAUCGAGCAGGUGAAGCUGGCAUGUAGGAAUAUUUUUCCUUUCUUAGAGUGGAAUGUGGUAAGAUGAAGUUACUCUUUGUCAGAUAAUGUUUUUUUUGUGCGUGUGUUGUUUUGUUGUCGACCCCACAAAGCCAGACAUGUACUCCAUUCCUUCUUUGUUUUUACAAAAGGCACUAUAUCUGACAGAAGAUGUAGAACACUUGCAACGUUGACAAUCGAGCUACAGCAGUCUUGCAGGGUCCUCCAUAUGCGUAGAGUCAACGGCCACCUUUAUUUUUCCUUCCCUCAAAUACAGUGCAUUCCUGUAUUUAUUUAAUUUUUUAUUCUUAUGCAGGCCUCUAGCUGUUGCACUCGCUUUGAAGCCAUUUCUCUUCACUAUGUACAAUCUGAAAGACUCACAAAGAAGAGCCACUGUGCUGUUAAAUAUAUGUACGAGUACUGUAUCCACAGUACCUUUUAAUUUCCAUCUUCCUCCCAUGCAUUUUAAAGCCUUAAGGGCAUUAAAUGUAUGUAUCAGACCCGGUUUAGUGCUCUGUCUAAUUCUUAAAUUCAUUUGUACAAUCGGCCUUGGGCUGAUUAUCAGAUUGCAUAUAUCUGUAACACAGACUUCAUCAGUUUUUAACAGUGUGAUUACUGUUCAAAGUGGACACUCUGUAGCACCACUAACACGCCCAAGUUAGUGACCGCAUCAGAUACGUCCGGAUCGGUGACGACGUCAGUAUUAAUAUCGUUCUCACCAUGGUGACCGUAGAAAUGAAAGGUCUCUUGAUUUGCAUUUCAAGUAAAAAGACACAUUUAACAAGUUCUCGCUCUAGCCAAGUUAACUCAUCCAGUUAUUGAUUUUUUGUUUGGACUGAUAUUCCUCACGUUGCUGAAUUGCCUUUGUUUCAGAUUUUGGUGUCUAAUAGCUACUUCUAUAAAUGGACAGUCCUGUAAUGGGGGACGCUUCUUCUUUAUUCAGCUUACAGCGAUAUUCCACCAUGAAAUAAGCUGUAUGCUUGGGCCAUAAACAGAACGAUUCCCCUCCCUAACAGUAGAUUUUGUUCUGAUCGUUAGCACUUUGUCUGUAGUACCUAGACUGAUGUUCAUUGCAGUACAUGUCCCAUUCUUUCUUUUUACCUGGGAUUUUUCCAAUUUCACCCACACUUGGUACAAUCCUAUAAAUGCUGCACAUCCCAUAGGAGGAUAAUUUGUUCCAAAGAGUGAGUGUGUGUGUGUAUGUGACUGAGUGUGAGAGAGUGAAAGCAAGAAAGACUGAGACGAAACUGAGGUACUCUAACAUGUAAUUGUAAAAUGUGUGUAUUGUGAAGUGCACUGCAGCAUUGCGUCACUACAGCCAGAUACAGUACGUAUCACGUAAUGUGUUAUGUUAUAUUUAUUUGACGUGAAUAUGCCGUUGCUCAGUUGUUUGCUCAUAAGUGUCUUCUGGUGCCACAUUUUCCACAUAGUUCGAAAUGUUUUUUUUUAUUUUUAAUUUCAGGAUAUAAUCUCAAUAUAAUGAACAUGUGUUGAUGUAUUGCAUUUGUUUCAGCUUGCUGUCCUGAUUUCCAGCUGUUUUAUGAUUUGCACAUGAUCCUUCAUUCCACUUUACAAAUCCUAGAGCAGAGCCAUGAUGUUUAUGCAGUUCUAUGAAUAGUAGCAGAGGGUGUGUACUGCCAGAGGUUUAUUAUGAAGUUUUCCAGGAAUUAAAAGCCGUUAAGAUCGGGGAUUAGUAGCUGUAGAGAAUAUCACUGCAAUUACUUGCACACAUUUGCUGUAAGAAAUGUAAAGCAACGUAAAUUCACUGUCCUAUACGAAAGACGUUUGAUGGUACAGUUAUAAUGGCUUUUACCGAGCAAUUAAAAACUUCUCAACAGAAGUUUCUCUCUGGUCUGAAAGUUCGAGUUGAAGGGCACAAAUUUAAGCAAAAAAAGUUUGAAUUUGGUUCACAAUUACACAUCUGCCAAUAUGUCUUUCUGAAUUUAAACCAAAGUUCAGCAUUAAUACUCUGACACUAUUCCAGUGCUGCUUUAAUGUACUUUGCUUGUAUAUUUUUUUUCAAUAUUGUACCUGUACAUUCUGUAAAGCAUGUAUAAAGAACUUUUUUGUUUUGAUGUUGCA